CCUGGGGAGUACGGCCGCAAGGUUAAAACUCAAAUGAAUUGACGGGGGCCCGCACAAGCGGUGGAGCAUGUGGUUUAAUUCGAUGCAACGCGAAGAACCUUACCUGGUCUUGACAUCCACAGAACUUUCCAGAGAUGGAUUGGUGCCUUCGGGAACUGUGAGACAGGUGCUGCAUGGCUGUCGUCAGCUCGUGUUGUGAAAUGUUGGGUUAAGUCCCGCAACGAGCGCAACCCUUAUCCUUUGUUGCCAGCGGUUAGGCCGGGAACUCAAAGGAGACUGCCAGUGAUAAACUGGAGGAAGGUGGGGAUGACGUCAAGUCAUCAUGGCCCUUACGACCAGGGCUACACACGUGCUACAAUGGCGCAUACAAAGAGAAGCGACCUCGCGAGAGCAAGCGGACCUCAUAAAGUGCGUCGUAGUCCGGAUUGGAGUCUGCAACUCGACUCCAUGAAGUCGGAAUCGCUAGUAAUCGUAGAUCAGAAUGCUACGGUGAAUACGUUCCCGGGCCUUGUACACACCGCCCGUCACACCAUGGGAGUGGGUUGCAAAAGAAGUAGGUAGCUUAACCUUCGGGAGGGCGCUUACCACUUUGUGAUUCAUGACUGGGGUGAAGUCGUAACAAGGUAACCGUAGGGGAACCUGCGGUUGGAUCACCUCCUUA
rnacentral:rRNA from 1 species